GCGACCAUAAAAAGUUUACAGCCGCUACCUCGUCGUCCUGCAUCUAGCCCAUCCACUUCCAAAUCGUUUUUAUAUAUAGUUGUUUCGAGCUAACUACUUAUAAUGAUCAAAUAAAGCAAUGAGUUGUUUGUUUUCCAUUCGUACGAAAUAGUGGAGGAAUCGUUAAUACGGACAAUACGGACACUUUUAAUAAAGGACUCGUAAUAUCCCACUGUGUGGGGUUAUCCCACUUCUCC
rnacentral:lncRNA from 1 species